rnacentral:tRNA from 1 species
UGGUAGAAGGAUAAAAUCCGUAAAUAAAUUUACAAUUUAUUGCCUAAACUCGGCCAUUCUACC